GGCGCUGGGUCCUUCCUCCAGCCGCACUGGACUUCCGCCGGUCAUCUGGGGGCGGCAGGCUCGCUGGGGGUGUUUCACCUCACGGGAGUGACCUUUUGGUUUGGUUUGUCUUAAAUUGGCUGCAUCGAGGCAUCUUUUCAUGUAGUUUGAUAGGUUUCGACAAACUCGUGUGCCCCGUGGCCCCGCCUCCCCUGCGGCCCCGCCUCCCCUGCGGCCCCUCCUCCCCCGUGGCCCUCGGCCUGGGUGAGGACUCCUGUCUGGGGCGGUGCCUCUGCUGGUCGGCGGUGUAGACGUGCCGGCGGCUUGGGCCUUGGCUGCCCCGCUGGCCGUCCGCCCUGCAGUAGGCAGGCCCGGGACGCAGAGGCCGAGCUCGCGGUGCUGUCUGCAGCCAGUGCCUCGGUGCGGCCCUCCCGUCCAGUCAGCUUUGGGGUACAGUUUGCUGCAUGGACACAGCUGCGGCCAGUUCUGUGAGCGGCACUUUGCCUCCUUGGUGCUGACCAGUCUCUGCGUGCCUCUGACUCACGUGUCACCCACUUCCUUCCGAGUCUCACCCGCCCCCUCGGACGCCCACCCUCUGCUCCCCUGACCACACACCGACCUGAGCGGUGGGAGGCCCACAUUCUGGUCCCGCUGAGCAGGCAGGCACAGGUCCUCCCGGUCAGACCGCCUGGCCCAGGCCUCGCCCUGGCAGCUGCAGCCACGUGGGCACUCGGGAGGGAAGAUGGGCUCGGGCCCCCUAUCAGGUCUGUUUUCCCGGGUGGCAACGCUGGACUUCUCGGAGCCUCUGGGACCUUCUCCAGCGGGGUCCCUGCGUCACACAGCGGCGUCCGCGGGACAGGCAGCGUCAGCCCGGAGGCUGUGCGUGUGGGCCCCUCUGCCUGGCUGCUGCUUCACCUCCUGGGCAGCCCCAGGCUCCCCAGCCUCCGUGGUCGUCCACCCAGAGUCCAGCCGACUCUCAGUACUGGGGGCACCAAAGGGGAGACCUUGCCCUGGGACCAGCCUGGCUCUCCAGCCUGGGCCGUGCCGCGCCCUGUCCCGCGUCGUGGACGCUGUGCCCGGUGAGUGGGCGGCGCCCUGAGAUGCUGCUGCUGUGUCUGUGCUCAGGGCUCAGCUCCCAGCUUCCCGGGCCCUUUGCUUCCACGCAGAGCGGCUCCCCUGCACCCGCAUCGGCUCGUACAGGCCCACGCGGGGCUUUAGACGACGAGGAGGAUUCCUUUCCAGACCCCUUUCCGGGCGGAGAGCUCGGGCCGUGGGAGGGUUGGUCAGGACGCCCCGCGGGCCGCGGAUGCGAUGGGCGGGGGUAAACCAGCCCCGUCCCUCCGGGAGCGCGGUGUCUGUCAGCCGUGGCUCCGCAGACGCUGUCGGGUCCGUCCCCCUCGUAUUCUGGUCUUAACUCUCCUUGUUCUCCGGGGUUUGUGGAAAGCACCUUGCCCGACCCUGAGGUGACCGUCGUGUAUCUGAAGUGUUACGUGGGCUGUGGGGAGCUUUUACCAAGUUAACAGUUUCUAGUCCUAAUUUUCUGAGAAACUUUUUUAUCAUAAGUAGGUGUUGAGCUUUAUCAGCUGCUUUUCUACAUGGAAACAGUGUCUGUCCUCCCAGUGCAGCCACGUGGUGAGGUGCGGCCGGUCCGCGGGGCGGGGGGCCUCCUGGCAUUCCGGGGUCUGUGCCUGCUCAUCGAGAGCUUCCUGGUCACCACACGCGGUCGGUUCAGCCGAGUUUCCGCUCCGAGUCUGUGUCCUGAGUGAAGCAGACUGUGGAGGCCGUGGGCUGGAGGCCGUGGGCUGGAGCCCCUCACGCCUGCCUCCAGGUCACACCUGGGGAGCCUGGGGGGGUCCCGCAGAGGAGGCGGCGGCCAGAUUCCCUCCGGUCCCCCCACUGCCUGUGGUGUCUCCUGCUGAGUGGACAGGGAGGGGCAGGGCCACGGCCGUCCUGAGCUCCGUGAAUGUUUAUCCUGGGGCAGUGGCUGAUGUUUGGGCCGAGUUAGAAGCCAGUGCACAUCCCCAGCCAGAAUCGGUGGCCGAAAGCAGGCCCAUGUGGUGGGUGGAGCCGGUGCUGGGGGUCUGCACUUCCGGGGGGACCCUGCGUUGGGGGGCCAGGACUGGCUGCCUCCCUCCGGGGCUGCACGGAGGGGGGCCUGGCUGUCUGUGUCUCUUGGGAACCUGCUGACUGUCCCAGGGGCACCCAGGGUGGCGCGGGCUUGUGCUCCCCACAGGGGGUGCUGUCAGGGCCCAGGAUCCCUGCGCCCCCGGCACUGACCCCGGCCCCGGGCAGGGAGGCCGCCUGGCCGCCAGCAGCGCUGCCUUUGAUCUGGGAGCCCCAGCAGCUGGUUGGUGGGGCGUCCCCACCCGCCUCGUGCCCCCGUCACUGACAGCCGCACACCCAGGGGCCGGCCAGCCACAUGGCGUCUGCUUUGUGUCCCUUUCAGUGUUGGGGGAGGGGCGGGACAAAACAGAGCUUUUGGGGGAACUUCAAAGGUGCAUUUCAGGGAUGAGAAAGCUCCCGCGUUUCCCAUUAAUGCUCAGCCUCGUGUGGUUUUUGAAUUUAAAUAAAGAGUCAGAAGAGACAGGAUGAAAUAGAGGCAGGUCCUCGCGAGGCUGGGAUGGUUUACAGACCCGGGCGGCUCCUGCCUUUGAUGUUGGAACAUUAAUUAUUAGAAGGUAGUUUAACUGGCCAUCGGGACGGGCGGGAGGCGGGCUGCCUGGCGGCCCCUGGCCUGUCCUUUGAAGUCCUUCCCCAGCCCGGGGGCCGCCCCUCAGCUCCGCACAGGGCAGCAUCCCAGCGGGCGCCCACAGCUGGCACGGGAGCCUGAUCAAAGUCCUGCUCCCUGGGUGACGGGCUGACAGUGGUCCCCCUGCGCCCGUCACCCUCCAGGGGGUGGGCUCCCCCGCCCAGACCCGGGCACGUCCUCCGCACCCCGUCUCUGGCCGCCCGCUCCCUGGGCGGAGCCCAGUCCUAUAGAGAGUGGUCCCCUCGCUACCGUCCUCCUCGGCCGGGCGGGGCCCUUGCCCAGGCCGUUCCCCCAGGAGCCAGCCGCCCGGCCUGUCCCUGUGGGGCCGCGUGUGUGGGUGCCGAGCUCCGGCCCCACCCGGCCCCAGGCGUGCUGGCAGGUGGGGCCGCAGGUGUGGAAGCCUCCAGCCCUGUCCUUGCUGCCUCCACGGAGCCUGGACAUGGAGAGAGACGCCAGCCUGCCAGCCGGGCGGAGAACAGGCUGUGUGGUGCCCUGGAGCCUUGAGCUGCCCACACAGGCCCGCUUCCUGCGGGGCUGGGGUCCUGGCGUGAGGCCCUGUCCUGAUUGGCAUGGCUUGUGCCUCUUUGGUCUGGGGUGCGUGCCCGCCCCUCGGGCUGUGCUGUCCCGGCUCCCGGGCAGCUGUUGCCUGUGGGUGAGGAGACCCUGCCUUUGCUCCCGGGGUUCCUUCCCCUCAUCUGUCCACAGCGACUCGCGCCAGCCAGCCGGGCACGUGGGAGCGCCCAGCUUCACCGCACGGGGUGUCACCCACGGCCCAGCCUUUAGCCGCCUGUAUUCUUUCUUUGAAAAAAAAUAUAUGUUUUUGUUGUUUUCAAAGAGAGGAAGGGAGAGGGAGAGAAAUGGAAACAUCCAUGAUGAGCGAGCAUCAUGGACCAACUGCCUUCUGCACGCCCCCCGCUGGGGAUGGAGCCGCCACCCGAGGUGUGCCCUGAUGGGAUCGAACCCUGACCUCCUGGGUCCCAGGGCGACACUCAGCCCUGAGCCGCCUGGGCCUGGCUGUCCGCUUCUCUUUAGAAAACUCUGCUUUUUUUGCUCAUCAGGCCCAGUGCUGCCAGGGCUGAGGGCCAGGGCUACGACCCUGUCCGCCCGCCCGCCCGCCCGCCCAGGAUUGGGGUCCUCCCGUGCCUUCCGGGGCGGCUGGCUGGGAGUAACUCAGGGGUGUGGCCUUGUCCCUGGAGUAGUGACUCGGCUCAGCUCCCAGCCUCAAGGGGAAGUGCUUCGCAUCCCUCGGCCCAGCCCGUGGUCAGAGGGCAGCCUGGCUGCGAGGGUGGGGGAGCCCCAUGAGGAGGGACUCGGCCGCGGUCACCCCACGGGGCUGCUGCAUUUUUUCUCUGGGUGUCACCACGUCCUGGAAAGUUACUGUCAAGAAAAGGAAGCCUCCGUGGGCAGGGAGGCCUUUGCCGUGAGGCCCCUGUGCCCAGUGGUUCCACUUGUGUGGCGGCUGCUGGCGUGCGUCCACCGGCCCGGAGGCCAGCAGCCCGUCUCGGCCGGGCGCCGGCUCCCUGGUCCCUCGACGUCUGGCCCGGUCGGGCGUGUGGUCGCACUGAGCAUGGUGUGGGGCCCGGCGGCCAGUGCUGUCCGCCUCGCUCCCUCCAGGUCCCCUCCAGGCCCGUUCUGUGGGACAGGGACUCUGAAGGUGCUGGGGCCGCCCUCAGCUGGCAGACGGCCACCCAGCCCCCACCUCCAAAUGGCCGGGGUCAGUCCCAUUGUCCGGCGCUGGCGUGUCGCCGGGCGAGGAGGGCGGCGCUCCUGUCCCUCCUCCUGGCCUCCUGGGCCCCUGGCCACGGUCAUCUAGUCCACCGAUGAGGCGGGUCAGGUCUCAAAGGAGGCGCCCCCUCAGCCUGCCCCCUCCUCGUGCCCCCUGAGCCGUGGAGUGACCGGGUUCAGGCGUGGAGGUUGGCGUCAGGACUUCCCGAAGGUUCUGGGCUCCAUCAUUCAGAGCCUGUGCCUGGCCAUGGCCGCGCACCAGCUGUGGGUUCAUCGUGGCCCUUCCCUGACCCCAGGGCCUGGCCCUCUCAGCUCCGGGAGCCUCUCCCAGGGCCGGGACGCGCUGAAGCUCUCCCCACGGCUGCCCCGGGGGUCCUUCUCCCACGAAGCCUCAGCCUGAACCUCGUUCUUUAUCCAGACAUCUCCGUCCGUGCACCUCAGAGGGGAGCCGUGCGGGGAAGCCGGCACGGGGACAGCCAGCACAUGGCCGGCUCCCGGGGGUGCUGGGUCGGGGACCCACCUGCAGGGCCAGCUCAGCUUCCUGCCUGGGGCCCCGUCACCCUGUUGCUGUGCCAGGGGCUUCUGCUGGAGGCCGCCUGGCUCGUGCACACGGCGGUUUGGCGCCCGGCAUCCGCGUCCUGCCCUCGCCCUCCCCUGGGAGCAGCACGCGCCCGGCCCCUCUGGAAUGCAGGCGCCGUGGCCGUGGGGGGCAGCCGGCGCCUGGCAUCUUGUUAUAAAAAGCUCUGGCGUCGACGGCCCACGGCGGCUGCAGGAAGGCUGUGGCUUUGAAGGGGCAGCUCCCAGGAGCCUUGGCCAGCCACCUCCGGGCUCUGCUGCCCAGGCCUCGCUGCCCUUCCCUGGCCGCUGGCCACGGCACUCGGGGCAGAGGGGUUCCCUAGCAGCCCGCUCCCUUCCCGGGGAGAGUGCUUGGGGACCCAGGGACCCCAGAGUGCAGGCGGCCUGCGCUGCGUCGAGGGUGGCCCGGAGGCCCCUGGCAGGUGCACUGAGGCAGCAGCUACCCCAACGCUGAGCCGGUGGACCGGGACCCCGUGGUGUGCCACCCGGACCUGGGGGAGCUGCUCCAGGCCUGGCCCGCGGAGCUGCCCGAC